rnacentral:tRNA from 1 species
GGAAACGUGACCGAGUGGCCGAAGGUGCUCCCCUGCUAAGGGCGUAUGGGGUGUAGAGCCUCAUCGAGGGUUCGAAUCCCUCCGUUUCCGCCA